GAGGUUGUGGCUCAGUGGAAGAGCACUUGCCUAUCACACAUGAGGCAUUGGGUUCAAUUCUCAGCACCACA
rnacentral:tRNA from 1 species